rnacentral:rRNA from 1 species
CCCUUAGAUGUUCUGGGCUGCACGCGUGUUACAAUCGGGAGUACAACAAGAUUGCAAAUCCUAGUGGAUGAGUGGUUCUUCGAAAUUUUCUGAAGACUGGGAUAGUUGAUUGAAAUUAUUCAACUCAAACGAGGAAUUCCUUGUAAUUGUAAUUCAUUAUAUUGUAAUGAAUACGUCCCUGCCCUUUGUACACACCGCCCGUCGCUCCUACCGAUUGAACGAUCCGGUGAAUUAUUUGGAGUAGCUCUGGAAGUUGCAGAACUUCCUAUGUCACGAAAUUUUGUAAACCUGAUCGUUUAGAGGAAGGAAAAGUCGUAACA